CUCUGCAGCUCAGGGUAUGACUGGGCCAGAGGUUCUAGGGAGCUGAAUUAAAAUGCAUUUUUUACAGAACACAACAGAGUUUAAGUUGGAGAAUUAACAAGGCCUGCCAAACCCGAAUCAUUGGAACAUUCAAACAACUGAACUGUCAUACAGAGACCCGUAGAAUAAAGUGACCGACAACCAGAGGGAGAGCUCUCAUGUUCCUCCUCGAGCAGUUUCUUGUUCCAAGAUACCUUUAAGUACACUGGGUCCACACACAGAUAGAUACGUUUCUCAAGGAUGCUACAAAAAUCCAACCAUCCGGAGCCUAGAUGAACUGGAGUGCCAGAGAAGGUUCAUAAAGAGAGUUUACAAUUCUAAAAGGUAAUCCAAAGAGCUCAAACCAUUUCCCUCAAUCAAGCCCAAUCGUAAAUAAGUCACGGAGUUUUGAAAGUCAAGCUAAACCUAGGCACAUGACCUUACCCCAAGUGAGGAUGUGUUAUAUUCAAAAAUGGUUCUACUGAUUCUUACCAAGAACAAGAUAAAUGAU